rnacentral:ncRNA from 2 species
UUCUUAUCAAGAGAGACCGAGGGACAGGCCCUAGGACGUCUCGGCAGCGGACCCCAUCCAUUGGCGGCACCGUGCUAAUUCCUGCAGAUGUCUAUCCAUCUGGAAGAUGAGAA